UAAACUGUUCAAGCCACACCUUGUAUCUAGGGUAGAGGCUUGUUUACCAAAGUUUUUCUCAAUGUCUACUCAACUUGCAGUUUUAUGUCUUCUGUUUAGGUUGUAUCUCAUUAUGGUCUGUCUGCUUCCAAGCUCUUGCAACUCUCAGAGAAUUCCAGUUACUCUACAUCUCUUAGUCUGGUAUGGGGUGAGAGCUCUCUGAAAUUCUGACUAAGCCUUCGCUGUGGCCAAGUACUAUGUUCUGGGUAUCUGGCCUGCCCAAUGAGGGUGGUACCCAGCCCUAGCCUCGAUCAUUUUUGUAAGCAUCCAGUGAAGUCUGUGGGAAAGAGGCUGCAAGGAGCUGUGAAUUCCCAUGUGUUCACAGCCGCCAAGGAUUCUGUAUCAUCCUGCUAGUCCAAUUCAAGCCUGCAGCAAUUCAUUAAAAUGUUUAACUGAA